UUCCGUAGGUGAACCUGCGGAAGGAUCAUUAAAUACCGGUAGUUUACUACCGUUUGAGGGGAGUGGAAACUGGCCAGGUUUACCUGUUCAGGAGUACACUUCUUUUCUUAACCCUUGACUUUUUGAGCACUUGUGUUUCCUCGGCAGGCUUGCCUGCCGUAUGGACAAAUCAAUAACCUUUUUAAUUUUCAAUCAGCGUCUGAAUUAUUUAAUAAUUACAACUUUCAACAACGGAUCUCUUGGUUCUGGCAUCGAUGAAGAACGCAGCGAAAUGCGAUAAGUAGUGUGAAUUGCAGAAUUCAGUGAAUCAUCGAAUCUUUGAACGCACAUUGCGCCCCUUGGUAUUCCAUGGGGCAUGCCUGUUCGAGCGUCAUUUGUACUCUCAAGCUCUGCUUGGUGUUGGGUGUUUGUCUUUGCUUUGCUUAGACUCGCCUUAAAUAUAUUGGCAGCCGGUAUACUGGUUUGAAGCGCAGCACAAUUGCAUUUCUAGCUUGUUAUUACUGGUACCCAUUAAGAAAAUUAACACUUUUGACCUCGGAUCAGGUAGGGAUACCCGCUGAAC
rnacentral:rRNA from 1 species